rnacentral:rRNA from 1 species
CACGUAGGGCGCAAGCGUUGUCCGGAAUUAUUGGGCGUAAAGAGCUCGUAGGCGGACUGUCACGUCUGCUGUGAAAAGCUGGGGCUUAACCCUGGCCUUGCAGUGGAUACGGGCAGACUAGAGGUAGGUAGGGGAGAAUGGAAUUCCCGGUGUAGCGGUGAAAUGCGCAGAUAUCGUGAGGAACACCAGAGGCGAAGGCGGUUACCUGGACAGUUACUGACGCUCAGGCACGAAAGCGUGGGGAGCAAAAGGG